rnacentral:lncRNA from 1 species
UUUGAUGGGCAGUAGGGAGCCAUGGAAGGUGUGAGAGUGAGGGAGGACUAGGGGGUAUUUGUGCCUUAGAUCAUUAUGGCAGUGCGCCAGAUGAAAGGAUUGAGGGGGUUGAUUCUGGAACUGAAGGCACCAGAAGCCUGCAGGGUUAUUCCUGCCACACGUCCUAUCACUCCAGCAAAGCAUUAGCAAAAGCCAGCCAUCCAUCUGCUGACUCCACAGAAACAGAACCUCAUCCGACUCUCACUGCUCUUCAGCACCUCAUGCAGGGCCUGGCACUGCCUGAUACUAAUAGACGCCUGUGGACGAUGGUCAGCAGAGGCGUGCACUGCCCAGCUGCCUGCCACAGCUGCCCUUUAAGACAGCGG